GUAGGGAAUAUUGGACAAUGGGGGGAACCCUGAUCCAGCCAUGCCGCGUGGAGGAAGACUGCCCUCUGGGUUGUAAACUCCUUUUAUAUGGGAAGAACCGUCCUCAUUAAUGAGUGACCUGACGGUACCAUAGGAAUAAGCACCGGCUAACUCCGUGCCAGCAGCCGCGGUAAUACGGAGGGUGCAAGCGUUAUCCGGAUUCACUGGGUUUAAAGGGUGCGUAGGCGGGUUGAUAAGUCAGUGGUGAAAGCUCCGGGCUUAACUUGGAAACUGCCAUGGAUACUGUCAGUCUUGAAUGUCGUAGAGGGAAGCGGAAUGUUGCAUGUAGCGGUGAAAUGCUUAGAUAUGUUACAGAACACCAAUUGCGAAGGCAGCUUACUAUGCGAUAAUUGACGCUGAGGCACGAAAGCGUGGGGAGCAAACAGGAUUAGAAACCCCAGUAGUCC
rnacentral:rRNA from 1 species